rnacentral:rRNA from 1 species
AGACCUAGCAAUAGGUAUGCUUAGGGAGGAGCUUGCGUCACAUUAGUUAGUUGGUGGGGUAAAGGCCUACCAAGACUAUGAUGUGUAGCCGGGCUGAGAGGUUGAACGGCCACAUUGGGACUGAGACACGGCCCAAACUCCUACGGGAGGCAGCAGUAGGGAAUUUUCGGCAAUGGAGGAAACUCUGACCGAGCAACGCCGCGUGAACGAUGAAGUAUUUCGGUAUGUAAAGUUCUUUUAUUAGGGAAGAAUAAAUGAUGGAAAAAUCAUUCUGACUGUACCUAAUGAAUAAGCCCCGGCUAACUAUGUGCCAGCAGCCGCGGUAAUACAUAGGGGGCAAGCGUUAUCCGGAAUUAUUGGGCGUAAAGGGUGCGUAGGCGGUUAAAUAAGUUUAUGGUCUAAGUGCAAUGCUCAACAUUGUGAUGCUAUAAAAACUGUUUAGCUAGAGUAAGAUAGAGGCAAGUGGAAUUCCAUGUGUAGUGGUAAAAUGCGUAAAUAUAUGGAGGAACACCAGUAGCGAAGGCGGCUUGCUGGGUCUUUACUGACGCUGAGGCACGAAAGCGUGGGGAGCAAACAGGAUUAGAUACCCUGGUAGUCCACGCUGUAAACGAUGAGUACUAAACGUUGGGUAAAACCAGUGUUGAAGUUAACACAUUAAGUACUCCGCCUGAGUAGUACGUACGCAAGUAUGAAACUUAAAGGAAUUGACGGGACUCCGCACAAGCGGUGGAUCAUGUUGUUUAAUUCGAAGGUACCCGAAAAACCUCACCAGGUCUUGACAUGCUUCUGCAAAGUUGUAGAAAUACAGUGGAGGUUAUCAGUUGCACAGGUGGUGCAUGGUUGUCGUCAGCUCGUGUCGUGAGAUGUUGGGUUAAGUCCCGCAACGAGCGCAACCCUUAUUGUUAGUUACCAGCACGUAAUGGUGGGGACUUUAGCAAGACUGCCAGUGAUAAAUUGGAGGAAGGUGGGGACGACGUCAAAUCAUCAUGCCCCUUAUGACCUGGGCUACAAACGUGAUACAAUGGCUGUUACAAAGGGUAGCUGAAACGCAAGUUUUUGGCGAAUCUCAAAAAAACAGUCUCAGUUCGGAUUGAAGUCUGCAACUCGACUUCAUGAAGUUGGAAUCCCUAGUAAUCGCGAAUCAACAUGUCCCGGUGAA